CCUACGGGUGGCUGCAGUGAGGAAUAUUGGUCAAUGGGCGAGAGCCUGAACCAGCAAAGUCGCGUGAGGGAAGACGGUCCUAUGGAUUGUAAACCCCUUUUGCCGGGGAGCAAAAAGCGGUACGUGUACCGCAUCGAGAGUACCCGGAGAAAAAGCAUCGGCAAACACCGUGCCAGCAGCCGCGGUAAUACGGAGGAUGCGCGCGUUAUCCGGAUUUAUUGGGUUGAAAGGGUGCGCAGGCGGCGAGUUAAGGCAGCGGAAAAAUUUCGGGGCUCAACCCCGACAAGCCGUUGAAACUGGCUUGCUAGAGUGGACGAGAGGUAUGCGGAAUGCGUGGUGUAGCGGUGGAAUGCGUAGAUAUCACGCAGAACUCCGAUUGCGAAGGCAGCAUACCGGCGCCCAACUGACGCUCAGGCACGAAAGCGUGGGUAUCGAACAGGAUUAGAUACCCUAGUAGUC
rnacentral:rRNA from 1 species